UACAGAGGUCCCGAGCGUUGUUCGGAUUCACUGGGCGUAAAGGGUGCGUAGGUGGUGAGGUAAGUCGGAUGUGAAAUCUCCGAGCUCAACUCGGAAAUGGCAUUGGAAACUACCUUGCUUGAGGGUUGGAGGGGGGACUGGAAUACUUGGUGUAGCAGUGAAAUGCGUAGAUAUCAAGUGGGACACCAGUGGCGAAGGCGAGUCCCUGGACAACUCCUGACACUGAGGCACGAAAGCUAGGGGAGCAAACAGG
rnacentral:rRNA from 1 species